GAUGAACGCUAGCUACAGGCUUAACACAUGCAAGUCGAGGGGUGACGAGAGGAAAGCUUGCUUUCCUUGUCGACGACCGGCGCACGGGUGAGUAACGCGUAUCCAACCUGCCCCCAACUAGGGAAUAACCUUGCGAAAGUAAGACUAAUACCCUAUAAUUUCCUCAGAUGUCAUCUGACGAGGAACAAAGAUUUAUCGGUUGUGGAUGGGGAUGCGUCUGAUUAGCUUGUUGGCGGGGUAACGGCCCACCAAGGCAACGAUCAGUAGGGGUUCUGAGAGGAAGGUCCCCCACAUUGGAACUGAGACACGGUCCAAACUCCUACGGGAGGCAGCAGUGAGGAAUAUUGGUCAAUGGGCGGAAGCCUGAACCAGCCAAGUAGCGCGCAGGAUGACGGCCCUAUGGGUUGUAAACUGCUUUUAUACAGGAAUAAAGUUAGCCACGUGUGGUUAUUUGUAGGUACUGUAUGAAUAAGGACCGGCUAAUUCCGUGCCAGCAGCCGCCGUAA
rnacentral:rRNA from 1 species